UCCUUCUUAGCUCAGUUGGUAGAGCGCGUCACUAGUAUCAUUUAUCGCUGAUUAAUUAUGACGAGGUCAGUCGUUCAAGUCGGCUAGAAGGAA